CAAAAAAGGGGGAUUGACAAAACACCAAGUUGUCUAUUCUGUUCCAAAGAUGAGAGUGUCCAACACCUUUUCUUUGAGUGUGUGGUUGCUAAGGCAACGUGGAACCAUGUUAAGGAUUUCUUUAAACUCCCUCUUGGGACAAACAACCUUUCUAUUGCUAAAUACCGGCCAACUAGUAAAAAUCAUUCUGCAUUAAACUCCAUUUGCGUCUGUGUCUUAUGGUGCCUGUGGAAAACUAGGAAUGCACUUGUUUUUAACAAUGCCAUCUGGUCUGAUACUAAACAGGUCCGGUAUUUGAUUCUUACAACCCUGAAGAAAUGGAGAAUUCUCUUCAAACAUCAAGAGGAGAGGGUGGAUGCUUCUCGAGAAUGCUUUCGGAGCAGAUAA
rnacentral:rRNA from 1 species